UGGUACAAUAACUCCUAAAUC
rnacentral:piRNA from 1 species